rnacentral:rRNA from 1 species
AUUUUAUAAUAUAAUUUAAAAAAUAUAAAUUAUAUAUAAACAUAAAAAAAUAAUAAUAAAAAAAAUUAAUAUAAUAAAAUGAAUUAAUAAAAUAUUUUUUUAUAGCGUGCCAGCAAAAGCGGUUAAACGAUUAAUUUAAAUUAUUUAUAAAAUUAAACUGAAUUUAAACAAAAAAAGAUUUUUUUAAGUAAAAUAAAAAAAAAAAUUAAUAGUUUUUAAAGUUAAACAUUAAAAAUUAAUUAAUUGGAUUAGAUACCCAACUAAAAAAACUUUUUAGUAAUAAACUUAUAUAGUUAAACUAGAAACUUUUUGGCGGUAAAAUAUUAUAAUUAAAGGGUCUUGAUUAUUAAUAGAAAGCACACAAUAAAAGAAACUUUAAAUUAUAAAUUUAUUUAUCUCCGUAAAAUGAAUUAUUAUUUUUUUUUUAAAAAAAAAAUUAAAAUUUACAGGUCAAGAUAUAAUUAAAAUUAAAGGAUAAUUUAGACACAAAAAAAUGUUAUUAAAAAAAGAAUUUAAAAGUAAAUAUUUUUUUUUAAAAAAAAAUGAAAUAUUUAUUUUAUGUACAUAUUGCCCAUCACUUUCAUUUAUAAAAUGAAAUAAGUUGAAACAUAGUAGAAAUAUAAGAAUAUGUUUCUAA